AUACGAGGGGUGCAAGCGUUAAUCGGAAUUACUGGGCGUAAAGCGUUCGUAGGCGGUUUGUUAAGCAAGAUGUGAAAGCCCAGGGCUCAACCUUGGAACUACAUUUUGAACUGGCAAACUAGAGUACUGUAGAGGGUGGUGGAAUUUCCAGUGUAGCGGUGAAAUGCGUAGAGAUUGGAAGGAACAUCAGUGGCGAAGGCGGCCACCUGGACAGAUACUGACGCUGAGGAACGAAAGCGUGGGGAGCGAACAGGAUUAGAAACCCCAGUAGUCC
rnacentral:rRNA from 1 species